rnacentral:lncRNA from 1 species
AAAGAUUAGAACAUGUAGAAGUGAGAGAAUGUGGGGAUAUUCGCACUCUGUUUCCAGCAAAAUGGAGGCAAGCUUUGAAAAAUCUAAGGAGUGUGGAAAUUGAUUACUGCGAAUCAUUGAAAGAGGUAUUUGAAUUGGGUGAGGCCGAUGAAGGAAUUAACGAGGAGAAGGAGCUGCCGCUGCUGUCAUCUUUAACGGAGUUACAGCUUUCCAGGUUACCUGAGCUCAAAUGUAUAUGGAAGGGGCCCACCAGACAUGUCAGCCUCCAAAGUCUUAUUCAUCUGAAGUUGAAGUCUCUUGACAAACUGACAUUUAUCUUCACACCGUCCCUUGCUCAAAGUCUUAUUCAUCUGGAAACACUACGGAUAGGAGAAUGUCGUGAAUUGAAGCGUCUUAUCAGAGAAAAGGAUAAUGAUGAUGAAAAUAAUCAGAUAUUGUCAGGGAGUGAUCUCCAAUCUUCAUGCUUCCCUAAUUUAUGUCGACUUGAGAUCAGUAGAUGCAAUAAGUUGAAGAGUCUCUUCCCAGUAGCCAUGGCUUCAGGUCUCAAAAAGCUCCAAGUACUUGAAGUAAAAGAAUCCUCUCAAUUAUUGGAAGUAUUUGGGCAGGAUGAUCAUCAUCAACCUUCCAUUCCUUUCUCUCUUUGCUAGGUGAGUACUUGUGCAUAUUAUUCUUAAUUUUAUUUGUUUGUCAUUACCUUUAUAUCUUUUUUUAUCUUAAUUAUCUUUAUAGUAUGCUAUCUUUCACUAAUGAAAUUCUUUUUAUUGGUUUUGAGAAGAAAAAAAAAGUAUUUCUAUCUUUGUUUUAUGGAAAAAACACAUAGAUCUAUGAACUAGAUAUAAAAAAAGAAAGGAUAGAUAUUCCCAUUACUUAACAAUCGAGGAAAUGAGUGUUUAAAAUUAAGAUAAUAAAAUUAUCUAAUCUCAUUAGAUAAAGCUGUUGUGUAAAUAAGUGUGACUUGUACUCAUGGCAUAGAUAGAUAAAAAUAAUUAAAUAAGUGUAUUAUGCAGAGAUAGUCAUUACAGAUUUUAGUUGGCUAAGAUUGAUCCGUUGUUGAGUUCGUUCCAUUAAUUAUACUUCCUUGCAAGUAUUUUUUUCUCCUUAUUCAUAAUUUUUUUUUAAAAAAACAUUGACCGAUCAUAGCUUUAGAUUAAUGUGUUAUUGGAAGCGAUGAGCAGCUAGUAUCAUUCGUGCAGGUGUCAAAGUGAUCAUCAUCAACCUUCCAUACAGAGACUGGAGGAAAAUGGCUAUCGAAAGUGUUGGUGGAUCCGUUGUAUCUAAGAUAGCGGAGCUCUUGGUGGAACCAGCAAUAAGGCAGUUCCGUUACAUUUUCUGCUUCAACAAUUUUGUUCAAGAAUUCAGUGAACGAAAGCAGAGCCUAGCUUUAGCGAUAGAUCGUCUACAAAAUGAUGUCAAAGUUGCUGAAAGGAAUGCUGAAGAAAUUGAGAAAGAUGUCAGUAAAUGGCUGGAAGGUGCAAACAACGAAAUUGAAGGUGUGAAUCCUUUGGAUGAAAUAGGAAGAAAUGGCAAAUGCUUUACUUGUUGUCCAAAUUGGAUGCGACAAUUCAAGUUAAGCAAGGCACUGGCAAAGAAGACGGAGGCUUUGAGAAAACUUGAAGAAAAUAGCAGAAAAUUUCCAAAAGUGUCCCACAAAACACCUCUUCAAGAGAUAAAAUUUCUUCCAUCAAAGGAAUUCAUGCUCUCAAAAUCGUCAAAAGAAGCUUUCGAACAGAUUAUGAAAGCUCUCAAAGAUGACACUGUCAAUAUGAUCGGACUGUACGGAAUGGGAGGGGUGGGUAAAACCACCCUGGUGAAAGACGUAGCCAGGAGGGCCAAAGAGUUGCAGUUGUUUGAUGAAGUUUUGAUGGCUACACUGUCCCAGAAUCCAAAUGUCACAGGCAUCCAGGAUCGAAUGGCAGAUAGUUUAGAUCUGACUUUACUCAAGAAGAGUAAAGAAGGGAGAGCAAAUGAAUUAUGGCAGAGACUGCAGGGAAAGAAGAUGCUUAUAGUCCUGGAUGAUGUUUGGAAAGAUAUUGACUUCCAAGAGAUAGGGAUCCCAUUUGGUGAUGCUCACAGGGGUUGUAAAAUUCUUCUAACAACACGUCUUGAAGACAUAUGUAAGAAUAUGGCGUGCCAGCAAAAAGUGUUCUUAAGUCUCUUAUCAGAAAAUGAAGCAUGGGCUUUAUUCAAAAUCAAUGCAGGUUUACAUGAUGAGGACUCUGACUUGAACAGAGUGGCAAAGGAGGUUGCGAUAGAAUGCCAAGGCUUGCCUAUAGCACUGGUGGCAGUGGGAAAGGCUCUAAAAGAUAAAUCUAAAAAUGAGUGGGAAGUAGCAUCUGAAGAGCUCAAAAAAUCUCAAUCUCGGCACAUGGAAAAAUUUGAUGACCGAAGAAAUGCAUAUGCAUGUCUUAAAUUGAGCUAUGAUUAUUUGAAGUACAAGGAAAUCAAGUUAUGUUUCUUGCUAUGCUGUUUGUUUCCAGAAGAUUACGACAUUCCAAUCGAGGAGUUGAUGAGAUAUGUAGUUGGCUACGGGUUAUAUCAAGAUGUGAAGUCCAUUGAAGGUGCAAGGAAACGAGUUUAUGUGGAAAUCGAAAACCUCAAAGGUUGUUGUAUGCUGCUAGGCACUGAAACUGAAGAACAUGUGAAAAUACAUGACUUGUUUCGUGAUGUUGCUAUUCAGAUAGCAUCAUCAGAAGAAUAUGGAUUCAUGGUUGAGGCUGGCAUUGGGUUGGAGGAGUGGCCACUGAGCUAUAAAAGCUUUGAAGGUUGUACAGCAAUUUCGUUAAUGGGCAAUGAACUAACAGAACUUCCUGAAGGAUUGGUGUGUCCACAUCUCAAAGUUCUAUUAUUAGGACUGGAUCGUGGUUUGAAUGUUCCAGAGAGGUUUUUUGAAGGGAUGAAAGAAAUUAAAGUUUUGUCUCUAGAGGGAGGGUGUUUGUCAUUGCAAUCACUUCAAUUCUCAACGAACCUUCAAUCGUUGCUGUUGAUCGAGUGUGAAUGCAAGGACCUCAAUUGGUUGAGAAAGCUGCAAAGACUUAAGAUUCUUGGUUUCAUUUGGUGCGGCUCCGUUGAAGAAUUACCUGAUGAAAUUGGGGAGCUCAAGGAGUUAAGGUUGUUGGAUUUGACAGGUUGUGAAAAUCUAAGAAGGAUUCCUGUGAAUUUGAUUGCAAGGUUGAAGAAGUUAGAAGAACUGUUGAUCGGGGAUGAAAGCUUCGAGGAAUGGGAUGUUGUUGGAUGUGACAGCACAGAAGGAAUGAAUGCAAGCCUAACAGAGCUAAGUUCGCUGUCUCAUUUAGCUGUAUUAUCAUUGUGGAUACCGAAGGUUGAAUGCAUUCCCAGAGAUUUUGUUUUUCCCAGCUUGCUCAAAUAUGAUAUAAUGUUAGGGCAUUGGUAUCCAAAACUUGAUAAUGAAUACCCAACCUCGACAAGAUUAUAUUUGCGUGAUAUAAACGCCGCAUCCUUAAAUGCAAAGACAUUUGAGCAAUUGUUUCCUACUGUGUCUCUAAUUGAUUAUAGAAACAUUAAGGGUUUAGAAAAUAUAGUAUUGUCCUCUGAUCAGAUGACCACCCAUGGCCAUGGGUCGCAAAAGGACUUCUUACAAAGAUUAGAAAAUGUCAAAGUGAAUCGAUGUGGGGAUAUUCGCACUCUGUUUCCAGCAAAAUGGCGGCAAGCUUUGAAAAAUCUAAUAAGUGUGGAUAUUAGUAACUGCAAAUCAUUGGAAGAGGUAUUUGAAUUGGGUGAGGCUGAUGAAGGAAUUAACGAGGAGAAGGAGCUGUCAUUUUUAACGGAGUUACAGCUGUACCGGUUACCUGAGCUCAAAUGUAUAUGGAAGGGGCCCACCAGACAUGUCAG